rnacentral:lncRNA from 10 species
UAAGACUCUCACAGCCCGGGGCUGGCGGCGCCAGCCCGCCGCUUCGAGUGCGGAUCCUGCCCAGCCCGCACCCACCCGGAACUCGCGCUGGCGCGCGAGCGCGGCGCGCAGCUUGGGUUCCUGCCGGCGCCUCUCCCUCCACACCUCACCUCAAACAGAGGGAGCCGGCUCCGGUCUCGGCCAGCCCAGAGAGGGCCUCCCAUAGUGCAGCGGCGGGCUGAAGGUCUCCUCAAGCGCUGCCAGAGUGGGCGUCGAGGCUGAGGAGACACCGAGAGCGAGUGAGGGCUGCAAGCAUGCUGUCACCUCUCAGUAAUUUGAGAAAAUUUCUGUUUUCUAUGGCAGAGGCAUCAUGUGAGGAAGCUGUUAUUGGCUUGAAUUUCUGCCUCUUGUAUUCCUCAAAGCAAAUGAGCAGUGAAGUAGACAAGAGACCAUAAUUCCCAUAGUCAAGGUAAUCUGUAUCUCUGGCCUCCUUGUCUGACUG